GUGGGGAGGACCCCUGCCCACCAGCCGCCGCGCCUCCAGGAAGGAGCGUCUGAGCAGAAACCAGGGCUGAGCAGGAGGCUCUAGAAACAGAAAAGGACAGUUGUGCUCGGCAUUUCCUGUCUCUCUCCCCGCAGGCCUCUCUGCGAACGCCCUGCCCGUGUACGUUAGACACGGGGCGGCUGGUCUGUGCCUCUGGAGCCCCGGUUCCUGGGUUUCCCACGACUGUUGUUGCCUGGGCACCCUCCGUGCUGCUGUGCACUCAGUACUUGCUCGGUCAGUUCACUUAGAAAAUUACAGAGGAGGGUGGGGGCUGAGGACAAGGGGGGGGCGGCCCCCAGCCCUUCAAGCAGGGGCCGGAGACGCCAGGGCAGCUGGGGGUUGUCCUUCCACCUUGGCCCCCCUCGAGCCAGGGCACGCUGAGCCCCCACCUGCCCUGCUGGGUGUCUGGGGGCUUCACACCCGCCGCCUCGCCGCAUCCUGUUCAUCUGUUCACUUUCCUCCUCUCCCCCUGCUUGCCGGUCUCCACCCUGUGGCUGCAGAAUCUGCUCCUGGGACGGCCUGUGUGUGGACCCGGCAGAUACCGAGUGUAGACUGGGUGAGGGAAGGCACCGGCCAGUUGAAGAAGCAUGUGGACCUGGGGGGUAUAAACCCUGGUUCUAAGGCCUGGAGAGGACCAGCACCCUCCCGUCACACGGACAGCAGAGCUGGCGGCAUCUCUGCUCCUGGCGUGGCACAGCCCCCCGAGUAGCCGGGUCCGCCCAGCAGCCCCUCAGGGCCAGGCCAGGCAGACACAGGUGCAGCUUUGUUCUCUGCGUGGCGUGUGGGUUGGACUGAAGGACAAGGUCUUGUCAUCGGGGAGGCGGGAGCCACUCUGGGGCCUGAGCAGGAGAACUAGUGGAUUUGAGAGUUCCGGGAGACAGUUCUAUGGCAACAACGUACCUUUAGGGAUCUGGCCUAUGCCUUACUGUGUAAAAUGAGUGAACAGGUAUGGUAACAUGUUAAUUAGGUGACACCCUGAAUUAGCCAGUCUUACGCAGGUUUUUUUCUUUUAAAAGGCUUGUACCUGGAAUUUACUUUUUAACUCUACCAGCUUCCCAGGGUCAUGGGUGCCUUCACCCGGCCCUGCAGUCCGACUUUAUCCUGAGGCCCAGGACGGUGGAGGGGGGGGCAGGGGGAUGUCUUCUUGGCCUGUAGCUUCUAAGAACAGAUGCCGAGCUGCCAGAGCUGAACGUCAAACACAGGUGUUUUCCCGGACCUUUUCCUGAGAUUCUGUCUGCCCACUUCUCUGGCCCCCAGAAUGUGAUAUCCGUUUUGUCUAGGAGGAGCACAUCCUGAAUGAAAGAGUUAUUCUAAUUUUAACAGCCGGAAAUGCCAAACUCAGAGGUGAACAAGAAAGUGCAUCUCCCAGCAAAGCCGGAUGCAUCUGGGGAAUGUUUGACAAUUGCAACGGUGACUUCCCCCUCAGGGGCUCUGGGCCAGGACAGCCGGGUCACAGCUUUUGUUUUCACCCCCUGAAGCAUGUCCCAUCCCUGAGCCCUGCAGGGACAGCAGAUGAUGAAAGAGGAACGAACUACACUUAAACCUGUAAUUGGUGAUUAAUUCUCAUAAUUCAUCUGGCAUAUUUCGUUCUGGCUUAUUUUGAGGGAGGCACAAGCAUUUCAUUUUUAAAAAUCUUAUUACAAAAAAAUAACAUCUAUGUAAAAGCGGCAAGAACAGUCCAAUGGACACCCUGAAACUCAGUUAUGGAGACUGAGCAAUUGCUGGUCUGUCCUGGUUUGCGUGGCAGGCCCAAGUUCAGCGAGCCACUUAAAAGCAUGUGUUUCUGAGAAGCUGCUCCCUGCGUGAGGACGAUGCCAUGAACACGCCAACACGGUAAUUCUCCACCUCAUCUAGUACCCAUAUUUCAUAAAUUUUCCUAAUUGCCUGGAAAAUGUCUUUUGGCUGCUUUUAUUUUUUCCACAAACCAGGACCCAGGUAAGAGCCGUGCAUGGCUGUUCUGUCUCCCAAGUCUUGUGACUCUGGAAACGGAAGCCUGUCCGCCCCCCACCACCCCAUUUGUCCUGAAGCUUAACUAUUCUCCCAUCUGUGCGGCUCCUGUGAAGGAGAAGUUAGAUCUAAAGGCCCUGUCAUGUCUUGGUGGCAGGGACACCUCUUGGGGGCCGCAGGCCAGGAGCUGAUUGUCCAGGGCGUCCACCACCCAUGACACUGGAAUGGGGCUCGGGUGGUGACGACUCCACUUUAACCUGGUGGCCUUUAUUCCUCAGGUGUCUCCCAGCUGCGUCCUCUCCAGGGCUGUCCCGCGUGCUCCUGCCCUCUGCCCUGACAGGUGUCCCCGCACAGCCUCUGCGUCCAGCCCGUCUGGCAGCUCAGGAAAGUCGUCACAGGUACGACCCUGUCAUUUCCCACAGAAGUGAUGAGUUUCACGCUAGGCACUCGUCAGAGCGCUGCAGUGGAACCAGAUGCCCCUGCCUUCAGACCAGAGGACACGGGACAGCCGGCUGCCCCCUGUGCAGAGUCCCCACGACAGGGAAUCCUGUGUCACAGCCGUCGCCGGGCUGAGGAGGAGGAAGGCCAGCUCCCGCUGGGAGGGGCCACAGAGCUCUGCUCUCUUCCCUGCCAAGACGUGACUUUGGGACCUCUGGCUCCACAACUGUGAAAGUGUGUCCUUCUCAGCACAGUGACUGUCCUGUACCUAAGGCUGUCGACCUCGAUGGAUAAACCUACGUAUUUAGAAAUUAAUGUCUCAGCAUGGCUUUUCAUAGUUGCAAAGACGAACCUCGUCUCCCUGGAGAGGCUGGAACUGAUGCUGUAGGGCAGAGGAUGGUGGCAAAGAUCCUGUUCUGCGAGUGGUCUUCAAAGCACAGGAAGCCAGCUUCCCUGGGGACGCAGAUGGGGCGGUUCCCUCUGGCAAGGAGACCCACAACUCACUGCUCACGGUUUCUGGGGAGGGGAGUAUUCUAUUUGGGAAUAUGUUACAUAGUUUCAAAAAGCAAUAUAAGAGAAAGUAUUGGAAAGAUACAUGAAAUCUUGAAGUAGAAUUAUGGGUAACAUUUUUUGUUUUAGCUUUUUAAAAAUAUUACUUUUGCAAUCAGAAAGAGUAACAAGUACAAAAAGCUAAUAUUAUGUAACUUUGUAAAUGGAAAAUGUCAAUCUAUACAAAGGAGGCAAAAGUGCAAAUCAGGGUUGGCAAACUAGAGCCGUCUGGCCCAUCUGUUUCUGCACAGCCUACAAGAAUAAUUUGUGCAUUUUUAAAUGGAGAAAAAAGAUUUCAUGGCAUUAAAAGUAUAUGAAAUUCAAA